GGGGAAUAUUGCACAAUGGGCGAAAGCCUGAUGCAGCAACGCCGCGUGAGCGAUGAAGGCCUUCGGGUCGUAAAGCUCUGUCCUAAGGGAAGAAAUUUGACGGUACCUUGGGAGGAAGCCCCGGCUAACUACGUGCCAGCAGCCGCGGUAAUACGUAGGGGGCAAGCGUUAUCCGGAAUCACUGGGCGUAAAGGGUGCGUAGGCGGUCUUACAAGUCAGGGGUGAAAGGCUACGGCUCAACCGUAGUAAGCCUUUGAAACUGUAGGACUUGAGUGCAGGAGAGGAAAGUGGAAUUCCUAGUGUAGCGGUGAAAUGCGUAGAUAUUAGGAGGAACACCAGUGGCGAAGGCGACUUUCUGGACUGUAACUGACGCUGAGGCACGAAAGUGUGGGGAGCAAAC
rnacentral:rRNA from 1 species